CAGCACCAGUAUAAAUUACACACAGACCCACUGAUCUGUCCUUUCCACAGCCUUCUGCUGCCAGAUCAACAAGAUUUCAUGGCGUUUCCUCUGUGGGAGAUGCCGUGGAGACUUGGCUGGUCUUGUAACAAUAAUGUCAUCAUGAAGGAAGCAGUUUAUGUAAAUCCUUGCUGCCAGGGGUGAGGUCAUCUGGCUCAGUGCCAUUCAGAGGGGAAACCCAUUUGUUGGUGCUGGUGUCCAGAUGUGCAGUCUGCUCCGUGUGACGCCUGACAACCUGCACGUAAAGCCUCAAGUCUAAGACAAAUGCUACAAAGCCAAGAACUGACCACAAGAAAACCAAUGCAUGUGAUGCUAAAAGUGAAGAAGCGAAAUUUUUGUGAAACCUUUGGUUUCUGCAUUGCUUGGUUUGGUUGGUCCGGGGCCCAACUGACAAAACAAAAAGCCCCGGAAAAAAAAAAGUAAAAAAAAAAAAUCUAAAUAAAAAUAGUAAAAUCUGCAA